GUUAAAAUCUUACUCACAAAAACAGUCUAAUGAUCAAGAUUACAGAAGAUGGAGUCAACAAAACCAGAGAACUUAAUAAUUUGGAUGCAUCUUGAAUUCAAAGGUUUCUUCAGAAUCUGUCAAAAUUCUGGGUCUAUCCACUACACUUUCUCUCACUGCAGCAGGACAUGCUGCACUGUUUACCAUGUAUGUGAAUGCGUCUGAAGACCAAAAGAAGGCGACUCCCUGUUGUUUUUUUGUUAGGCCUAGGCCAUCAAAAAAGGGAUUGAAGAUAAUACUUCAGAAUAACUGUUUUGCAUUUGGACACAACCAUUUUCUUCAAACAAAAGGCAUCGCAAUGGGAACAAAAGUAGUACCGACAUAUGCCACAUUAACCUUGGGAUACCUAGAAGAAAACUUCAACAAAUAAUAACUUUAUGGGGUGAAGAAGAUGCAAAACUACUAAAAUCGAAAUGGAAAAGAUUUCUUGAUGAUUGUUUUAUUUUAUGGUCUAAUGACAUGGAUAGAUUAACAAUUUUUUGCAAAGUACUGAACGAAUUGAACCCGGAUAUAAAAUUUACAAUGGAAAUCAAUGACACAAAAUUACCUUUUCUGGAUGUGCUAGUUAUUAAAGAAGAUACCAAACUUUCAACGGAUGUCUAUAACAAACCUACCGACACACACCAAUACCUACAUUUUGGAUCAUGUCAUCCACACCAUACAAAAAUUGCAAUUCCCUGCAAUCUGGCUAGACGUUUAUGCACAAUAGUGAGUGAUGUAAAUACCCGAGGUAUUCGUUUGUUGGAACUCAGAUCCUACUUACAAAAACAAGGUUAUCCUGAUAAACUUAUAGAAAACGGAAUUGAAAAAGCAAAAGAGUUAUGACCGCUCUCAACUACUUGCUACAAACAACCGGGAAAAAGACAAAGAUAUAAUUCUAUUUGUACAUAUGCAUAACCCGUGCAAUAGAAAUAUCAACUCAAUAGUUAAUCAACUAAACAAUCUACUGAAAGACGACCAAUUAACCAAGAAAAUAUUCAGAAAAAUAAAAUUCAUCAACAGCAAACGUCAACCGAAAAAUCUGAAAAGAAUAUUAUGCCCUCUACAUCUUAAAGACAAUAACAAGGUCACUAAGUGUGGGGAUCCACGAUGCGGGACCUGUCAAUACAUCACGGAAGGAUCACAAUACAACUUUAACGGACGGAUAUUUAAAGUUAAUGCCAAAAUGUCGUGCGAUAGCAAAAAUGUCCUGUAUGUCAUUACAUGUCCUGUAUGCAAAGAAUUUUAUAUUUGGGAAACAAGCAACCCGCUUCGAGCUCGUGUGCGGGUCCACAAACAGCAUAUCCACAAUCCGUAAUACAGGCAAAUUCAACUAAGUGAACAUUUAGAUGUUUGUGGACAAAAACAAUUCAAUAUAUUUCCAUUUUACAAGUUUGCAGGUGGAAGUGACAUUCAGAGAUGUGAAAAGGAAAAACAUUUCAUUAAUCAUAUGUUCAAACCUAAACUCAAUAAUUCAGUUUAAUGUUAUCAUAUUUGUAAAUGAAAAUGUUUUCACACAUUACUUUAUAAUGACAUCACUGUAAACACUAUGUUUUCACGUUCAGUACAAUUGUCUUAUGACGUUGAAAUUUGUUUUGCUUUACUAUGACGUCACAAUGAACAAUACGUUUCAACAGUCAGUAUGUAAUGACGUCUAGAUUUGUUUAAUUUUAACGUUCCGCUGUUUGUGACGUAACGUUGCUAUGUUACUAAAUGUAAAGCUUCUGAAGAUUUGAAAUGAAAGCGC